UGAGCCGUGGCCGGGUCGAGUCUUGUCCGGGCCAUGUCCGAGCGGAGCCGUGUCCAGGCCGGGCCUUGUCCGGGGCCUAGCGUUGUCCGGGCCAAGCCUUGUCCCGGGCCGGGUCAGGAGCCGCCCUAACUGUGGGAACGGCCUGUCCCGGGCAGCGGGCACCGGCCCCGCCGUGGUGUGCAGGCCUGGAGGAGCUCUCCCCUCAGGGAGGGACUGGCUGAGGGACCCUUCCGCGUCGGGUUAGGUUGGGCAUCAGGAAUUUCUCCCUGGAAAGGGUGUUCAGGCACUGGCAGGGGCUGCCCAGGGAGGUGUUGGAGUCCCCAGCCCUGGAGGUGUCCAAGGAAGGCCUGGCCGUGGCACUGAGUGCUCUGGGCUGGGGACAAGGUGGGGAUGGGGCACAGGGUGGAUCCAUGGGCUGGGAGGACUUUUCCAACCGCAGCGAUUCCUUCGUUCGUGAAGCCUAGCCAUGAUUCCAUGUUAGGGAAAUUGUGUGGAAUAAGCGGCUUUGCUGAACAUGCGCUGCUGCCGUUCGGGCUGCUCUGGGACCCUCACCCGUGUGGUGGCACCGGGGCUUGAUGGGCUCCAGCAGCCCCAGGAGCGGGGGGGAAACGGGAGGGUGAGGACAGCCCUGAGCCCCCGGCACGGGGGUGCAGCCGGGGAGGGGGGCUGGGCCAGGGGGGCUUCAGCUGCCCGUGUUGGGGUGUCCUGAGAUGCCCUGGCUCCGGUGCUGGGAGAGAAGGGGGGAAAAUUUGGGAUGGGUGCUGGGGGACAGGAGGGGAUAUUUGAAAUGUGUGCUGGGGGACAGGAGGGAUAUUCACAAGGAUCAGGAGAUAUUGUUGGACUCACACCUCUCAUAUCACAUCUCUGCCACAGGCUGCUUCAGCACCUUUAUUUUUCACGUGUUCCGAGGGAGGUCGUGAGGUUUCAGGUAGAUACAAGGGUGUCAAUUCACAGGCUUGGCACCCCUGGCCCGAGAAUGAGCACUGUGCUGAUUAAAAUCAGAUGCCAAAGCACUUCCUGCCCCUCUCCCGGUGGUGACUGAAUGAUGGCAUUGCAGAAAUGAUGGAAAAUCCACAGCCAGGAGCUGUGCAACCCUCCCUGGCAAGAGCUGGGCUGUGGCUGAGGAGCAGCCCAUGGGAUCCACCACACAGCAGCCAAACCCACCCUGCCAACCCCAAAAUUAAACCUGCAAUGCUUAAUUAUCCAGCUGAGGCUGCUCAGGGACAGCAGGUGACAACUGAAGGGGUGGCACAGACCCCUGGGCUGGUGCCCCCAUGGCUCUGCUCACCUAUGUGCUGUGCUUUGCUGCUGGCACCCACAGAGAUCCUGGAGGCAGGAGAUUGACUGUGAGCAAAUCUCAGCUUCCCUUUCGAGUAAUUGAAUGUUUUCAGUCUUUCCAGGUUGGUUGUAAACACCUCAAAAACAUAAUCUGGAAUCAAAGCCCACAAAGCCCAUCAGGAGCUUUAUUGAGGUUUAUGAUUUUUGCUGGGGGUUGUGGUUUCUCAGGCAGCAGUGCUUUCUGGCUCCAUGUAACUCCUGGCCUUUGCCUUGCCCUAUUCCAGCCGCUUCCUUCUUCCCUUGGGCUCCAGGCCCUCUGUGCUCCUGGAGCAGCAUUGCCACAGCUCAGGACAUGGCUCCAGCUCUGCCCAAACCCUGCUGUCAUCUCUCCAGUGGGGCAGGUGAGCUGGAUCCAGCUCUGCCCCUUGUUUCUGCCAGCUGGAACAGAAUGGGAUGAUCCCCAUCUCUCUGAAGCCGCGUGAUCCCCCUCUUUCAGGCACAGCAAUCAAACCCCUCCACACAGCGAGCCCCAGGCUGGCAGCUGGGCAGGACUGGCCUCUGCUUCCAGCCCAGGAGUCAAAUGUCAGCUGGAACACAGGGAAGAGGAUUUUCUCCCUGGCUGUGGCAGGCCCAGGCGGUUUGGGAAGCCUUGCUGAGAUAUUGAGUCCAUCCACAGAGCAGCAAUGCUGCAUCCUCAGACAAUCCCAACCUAAUCCUGCGUCUGAAACUGCUCCCACAUCCAGGAGAUGAGGAAACACUCUCUGCAUGUGUUAUCUUGUGUAUCUCAAGUUCUGUUUGAUCUGAUGGGGUGGAGGGUUUUUUUCAAAGGUAUUGGAGAAGAUGGGUGUGUGAGAGUAAUUUAGGGCUGGGAGUAAUUUUUCAUCAAUGUACUUAAAGACAAUCACAGCACUAGGAGGGAGGCCUAAUUGUGGAGUUGUGUAAUUAGUUUUUAUUUCACUGCAAUUAUUCUGUUGGCUACAUAUAAAGAACAUGGCAAAAUGCGGCACUUAAUUUUAAA